rnacentral:rRNA from 1 species
AUGAGUUCCCUCAAAGAAGAUAUCCGAACCAUGAUGGUCCGCUCUUCUACAACUUCGUCCUCUUCAAGACGGAGCCGCUCAAGUCGUCACUCCGACGACACCCUCUCCGGUUCAAGUACACCGACAUCAAACACUCUUCGUCGUGCCGCGCGUCAAGACCGUCAAGCUAACCGAAAUCCUCUACACGACACCGACUCUCAAGAGCUUCGACAUCGUCAAAACCAAGCUACAUUUGCGCAAGCACAAGAACGGCAACGCCAACGACAACAAGAACAAGAGGAGCGAGCGCAACAACAUCAAGAUGCACAAGACGCCGAGGCACAACGUCAAGAACAACAACUACGUGAAGCUCAAGCACUUGAGGCGCAACGUGCCCUUCAAGAUUCAAGUCGUGUCGUAGCCAAUCGAGGCUGA